AACGCACAUUGCGCCCUUUGGUAUUCCGAAGGGCAUGCCUGUUCGAGCGUCAUUUCACCACUCAAGCCUGGCUUGGUAUUGGGCGUCGCGGCUCCGCGCGCCUUAAAGUCUCCGGCUGAGCCAUUCGUCUCUAAGCGUUGUGGAUUUUCUAAUUCGCUUCGGAGUGCGGGUGGCCGCGGCCGUUAAAUCUUUACUCAAGGUUGACCUCGGAUCAGGUAGGGAUACCCGCUGAACUUAA
rnacentral:misc_RNA from 1 species